rnacentral:rRNA from 1 species
UACGUAGGUGGCGAGCGUUGUCCGGAAUUACUGGGCGUAAAGGGUGCGUAGGCGGUUUUUUAAGUGGGAUGUGAAAUCCCUGGGCUCAACUCAGGAAUUGCAUUCCAAACUGGAAGACUAGAGUGCAGGAGAGGAAAGUGGAAUUCCCAGUGUAGCGGUGAAAUGCGUAGAGAUUGGGAGGAACACCAGUGGCGAAGGCGACUUUCUGGACUGUAACUGACGCUGAUGCACGAAAGCGUGGGGAGCAAACAGG